CUCCGCCGGCGACCGGCGCACGGGUGAGUAACACGUAUGCAACCUGCCCCUGUCAGGGGGACAACCCGCCGAAAGGCGGGCUAAACCCGCGUACAUGCCACCGGGGCAUCCCGGAGGCAGGAAAGGCUUCGGCCGGACAGGGAUGGGCAUGCGGCGCAUUAGGCAGUAGGCGGGGUAACGGCCCACCUAACCGAUGAUGCGUAGGGGUUCUGAGAGGAAGGUCCCCCACACUGGUACUGAGACACGGACCAGACUCCUACGGAAGGCAGCAG
rnacentral:rRNA from 1 species